rnacentral:rRNA from 1 species
GACGAACGCUGGCGGCGUGCUUAACACAUGCAAGUCGAACGGAAAGGCCCUGCUUUUGUGGGGUGCUCGAGUGGCGAACGGGUGGGUAACACGUGAGUAACCUGCCCUUGACUUUGGGAUAACUUCAGGAAACUGGGGCUAAUACCGGAUAGGAGCUCCUGCUGCAUGGUGGGGGUUGGAAAGUUUCGGCGGUUGGGGAUGGACACGCGGCUUAUCAGCUUGUUGGUGGGGUAGUGGCUUACCAAGGCUUUGACGGGUAGCCGGCCUGAGAGGGUGACCGGCCACAUUGGGACUGAGAUACGGCCCAGACUCCUACGGGAGGCAGCAGUGGGGAAUAUUGCACAAUGGGCGGAAGCCUGAUGCAGCAACGCCGCGUGCGGGAUGACGGCCUUCGGGUUGUAAACCGCUUUCGCCUGUGACGAAGCGUGAGUGACGGUAAUGGGUAAAGAAGCACCGGCUAACUACGUG